CUAGAUUAGCUAUAGUUAGGGAGAUAUUUUUUAUCAACAGGUCAUUAUGGACAACAUCAAUCCAAGGGACAAAGCCUUUGGCCAUGGUAAUCAAUGGAGAGUAGAUGGGGUGUAAAACAGGGUCAACAAGUCUCGCCUAGACCUAUGAGAUUGCAGUUGGGUUUCUUCUUUAACAAGAACUUGAAAUGGAAUACUAUGAUAUCCUAAAAGGCCUUGUCCUGCCAUAUGCCAGCUGUCUAGACAUUCAUUAGCCUACGGUUCCCGAUACUAAUCACACACAAAGGUCUAUCCAAAAGGGGGCACAUAGAAUGCAAUGCCUUCUAAUUCUGUAGCAGUGUCAGUGGUCAGGAGCCCUUGGUAAGAUUCCUUCCAAUGAGGCUUGAGGGCUGUCUGCCUCUGAUGAUGCUUCUAGAAUACCCAGUCACCAGGCUCUAGACUGUGACCAACAGGAUCCUUUAAAUUGGAAUCUGGGAAAGUGUCUUUAACCUAUUGAUGAUGGGCUUGAGCAUAAGACAGUAGAGACUCACAAUGGCUGGUCAGACUCGCAUAAGACAACACGGGAUCAGCAGAAGGUUGUGUACCAACAGACACUGAUCUGCUGGUGACUGUCUCAUGUGGAGUCGGUUCAUGUUUUCCAAAUAGGGCCCUGCAAACAGUCAGCAAGACUGAAGGCAAUACCUUAUGCCAGGGGAGUCCAGUCCACAGUAUAUAACAAACCUCAAAGACAAUUAACAGGACAAGAAUCUAACGUCUACAAAGGUACAGACAGAAUUUUUCUCUCUA